GGUAAAAUUAUGAUGGACAGUCAGUUAAUGACUGCCUGAGGUUAGGAGAACAACAUAUAAAAACGGUCGCUGUUAGAAGGAACAUCAUUCUGCUCUCGUCACAAGAACAAGUCCCCGUGCAACUUGGGAAAACCAGCUUUCAACUCAUUCACAAUGAAGGUUGCUGUCCUCCUGUUGCUGUGCGCCGUCCUGGCCAUGAGCUCCGCCAUCAUUAACCCUUACAUAUACAAGUACGGCGGUCUGGGUCUGGGUGGCCUGGGUGGCCUGGGUUAGGACUGGGUGGCCUGGGAUUCGGCGGUCUUGGAUUUGGUGGACUGGGCUUUGGCGGUCUGGGACUCGGCCUCGGUAGGUUUGGUCUACUGGGCGGCGGUCUGUACGGAGGCUUUCCUUUCCUUGGAGGCUUCAAGGGCGGCCUGUACUACUAAAUGGCUGUAAACCAUCAGAUAUCGCCAUUGUCUCUCCUUAGUGAGAGUUAAAAUCAGGUGCUGGAUUCUUCUGAAGAACAGAGUCAAAUUUCAAUUUUAAGAAAACUGUGCUUCAUCGUAUUAAAUACAAAAUAAACAGAUAAAAGCUC
rnacentral:lncRNA from 1 species